rnacentral:rRNA from 1 species
AGAGUUUGAUCCUGGCUCAGGACGAACGCUGGCGGCGUGCCUAACACAUGCAAGUCGAACGAAGCUUGAAUUCAGAUUUCUUCGGAAUGAAGAAUGAUAUGACUGAGUGGCGGACGGGUGAGUAACGCGUGAGCAACCUGCCCUUCGGAGGGGGAUAGUGUCUGGAAACGGACAGUAAUACCGCAUAACGUAUUUUUACCGCAUGAUAGAAAUACCAAAACUGAGGUGCCGAAGGAUGGGCUCGCGUUGGAUUAGAUAGUUGGUGGGGUAACGGCCUACCAAGUCAACGAUCCAUAGCCGGACUGAGAGGUUGAACGGCCACAUUGGGACUGAGACACGGCCCAGACUCCUACGGGAGGCAGCAGUGGGGAAUACUGCACAAUGGGGGAAACCCUGAUGCAGCAACGCCGCGUGAAGGAAGACGGUUUUCGGAUUGUAAACUUCUGUUCUUAGUGAAGAAAAAUGACGGUAGCUAAGGAGCAAGCCACGGCUAACUACGUG